ACCAACGUUCUCACUAAUUUCUUUAGAAAUCACAGGUUGUGGACCUACUGUACAACUGUCACUGCACUAACAGGAUGCAGACACACUGUGCAAAUCCGAAGACAGGGGUAGUCAGUAAAAACCAACCACUGCAGAACGAGGAGAUCGCCUUGGUGGAAGUGUCAUAAUGAUGAAGAGACAAGUCCCAAACAGUCAUUUACCUUCAGCUGCACCUCACCUGAUAGCUCCCAGUCUAAAAUUGAUGCUGCCUUCAGGCUGAUGUUUCCUAAGUGUGCCCAGACCCCAGACCAGGCCUGGUGAAUCAGACCCUCCAGAAGACGAGCUGAAGAGUCUGUGGUACAGCAGCCCCUCGGUGAUUCCUGCUCUGUCAAGUUCAGGAAACACGAGACCAUGGUGAUGAGUCCACCAUACGGCAACUGCCUUGGCUCUCUGGGGCACUGCCUUGAGAGGAAUGCUCAGUCUGUGCCAUCUCUCCACGAGAGGUGCUGUUAUCUACUGAUAAUGUCCAUCAUGAGAAGGGGACUGGGAAAUGGUGGCCUGCAUGUCCCAGGGGGGACCCUAAGUCAUCAAUGAAGGGUUCAC